GAUCGGAUGGUGUUGACUAUAGUAUAUACGGGUUGAACAACCUUGAUGAAUUUAUAACCGAAUCAAAGUUUGACGAGCUGGAAUCGCUUCUUUACGAGAAGUCGAGAACUGAGUAUUUCACCAUGCUGAGUCAACUGGAGGUGCUUUCUGGGAGUUAUUUUCUCUCACUUGAGAGCGAAGCAAGCGGGCAUCUGAAGUUCUGAACUGAAUCACAGUAUACAUUCCUGUCAUUCUGUUUCUGUUGGACUUGGAAAAAUUUGUCAUCUUCGCCGUUUUCAGAAUCCUGCUUCCGUGCUCCAAAAUGAUAAAUUUAGUUACGUACCUAUGAUUUUUUUUUGUAAUAGUGAAUGUUCAUUCCAAUUUCCAAUUCUGAAAUUUGAAUGUCUGCAGUGUGGCCGGUGUGUGUGUCAACUGUCAACUACUCAUGAUAUGUAAUUUUUUCUUUUGAAGAAAGCAAAGGUCUGACUGAGGUCAAUUGUCAAAAAAGGCUUCAUGGCCGAGGGGAAUUCGGCAACUUUCCAAGAUUUCGGUGAACAAUCGAGGGAAAAGGUGCUAUUUGGGGACGCCGGGCCGGAAGACUGCCGGACCCUGCUACUUACCUGCUGGAAACAGUGAUGGAAAAACUUUUACAUUUCAGUUCUAGUUCUAAGUUCUUAUUCAAGUAAAAUACAAAAAAAAAAAAAAAUUAAGAAAUGAAAAAAAUAGAAAAAAAACAGAAAAAAUUGGAAGUCUAAAUUUAUUGCUUUUAAAACUUUUUUUAAAAGAGGAAAUCCUCUUGAAAAUCUCAAAACAGUACUCCAAAGCAAGUUAUUUUUCAAAUGAACUAGUAUAAAAAAAUUGAAUGGACAUCCAUUCAUUUCAAGUAAAUAUGCUAUAUUUUUUUUACGUUUUUGGGUGGAAGUCCUAUUCGAGAAUUCCACCCUUUAAUUACGCGGACUUCCACCCUUUUUUUGGAGCACCUUGAUUGAAACUUCGGCAAUGAGCAAGACUUUAGACUUUAGACAAUCACUCACAAAAAAUGAUAUAUUUUUCAAAUUUUUGUCAAAAAAUGAGACUAUACUUCUCAAUGUUUUGGCAAUUUUUGACAUUUUUAGUUGUAACAGCGAAUUUAUGCAACAAUUUGGUAAAACGAUAAUAAUUUUUGUCAUUUUUAAACAAAAAGCACAAAAUUGCUGGCAAAAAUGUAAUGCUUUUUAGCAAUUUUUGUCGAAAAAGUGAUAUUUUUUGCAACUUUUUGGUAAAAAAAGAUAAUUAUGUAGGUAUAUUUUUUUAAAGAUAAUGUUGUCAAAAUGCCAGAUGAGGCGAGGUUUUUUUUGACAAUUUUUGGCAGCAAAGCUAGACUUUUGGCCAAUUUUUGGGGGAAAAAAUGUAAUUUUAUACUUAAUAAUCGACAUUUAAAAAAAGUAAAGUACCUAAAUUAUUUAUUCUCUAUUUCAUUUAAAAGCUCUUUACGUAAAAUACGAGUACAUUCGUGCAACUGCGGAAGCAGUUUAUUCAAACUUAGUAACUUACCUACAUCAAUUAGCUGCCGAACUGAGAAAAAAUCAGCAAAAAAAAAUCAAGAAUUAUUUAUUGAAUUUAUGAAUAACACAAGGAUCAUAUGAUUCAUAAAUCUUACCUAACGAUCUCUUAUAAUCUUGCAUUUGAAUCUAUUUGCAGUCCACGGUGGAAUUGCCUAUACUUACCUAAUACCUUAGUAAACUUUUUCACAAACUUUCUUCGUUUCAAUAAAAUUGAAAACACGAAAAUAUCGAUAAAUGAAUGAUUCGGUAAAGCGAGAAUGAAAUCGAGAAUUUAAUUUCCGUUUUAGACGUUUAGAUUUUUAGAAUAUUAUUCGUAAAUCGUACGGUCUACAUAGGUACUUAAUAAUUAUCGUAAAAUACCCAACGAAUCAAUAAUCAACACGAAGAUAAUGAUUAAAACUUGAAUUAGAUUCCACCUGGCAGAAUUGGAAUAUUUCCUAUAGUAGAUUUCUCAAAUUUGACACACCUCAUUAUAAAAACAAUAUCAACGUUGAAACAAGGAAUAUAUCAUUUUCUCAAACACAACUAUUUAGUUAAAUCAUCCUUCUUAUAAAUGCUGAGCUCCGGUGUGUAAUCAUCGUCGUGGUAAGGAAUAUCCGAAGCAUGAUGGCCUACUUGUUACAACUCUAUAUUAUGUGUACUUUGGUCGCGGUCGUCGAAGACUUCGCGAGUUUUUGUAUUAUGUUUUAGAAAUAGAGAUUUCAGUUUCAUUUAA